UCAUUUGGAGAUAGACAUUUAUUUGGCCUAUUGGCAAUAUAGAUGCAGAGGAAAUAUUUGAGGAGGUAUUGUUUGACAGGAUUGGGCAGCAAACUUUAAGGGCUCGGAUGUUUUCAACCCGCGCAAAAGAUUUAAAUUGAUUGCGUUUAUCUAUACUAUCGUAUAAAGCAUUUCACAAGGGUUCCAACCAAAUUUAAAUAAUUGCAACAUAUUAUGCUUAUAGUACAACAACUCAAUGAAGUUAGUAAAGGGAAUUAGUCUUUCUACA